GACGUAGGGGACGAGCGUUGUCCGGAUUCAUUGGGCGUAAGCGCGCGUAGGUGGCCCGGUAAGUCCGCUCUGAAGUCACAGGCCUCAACCUGUGAAAGCGGGUGGGAUACUGCCGGGCUAGAGUCCGGAAGAGGCGAGUGGAAUCCUGGUGUAGCGGUGGAAUGCGCAGAUAUCAGGAGGAACACCGGUGGCGAAGGCGGGUCUC
rnacentral:rRNA from 1 species